rfam:Picea glauca, whole genome shotgun sequence.
AUGUGCAUUCCUACAACAUAGCGUUAAUGCAUCAGAUCCCAUUAAAACUUUGCAGUUAAAUGCGCUCGGGCCAGAGUAGUACUAGGAUGAGUGACCACCUGGGAAGUCCAAGUAUUUUACAUG